CCAGAAUACUCAUAAGGCAGUGCCAGUCCUCUAUACAAGGCUCUAACUGCUCCAAUCGUCCACUGCGAGUGUCCGCAUCUCGCAUAUGUUUUUUGCUACAUCGCUGUCUUUCACAAGUUAUCUGAUCGCCACCUGACAUAACAAACAUCAAGGACUACAACCUCAGAUUUUUUGGCCAUCUCUGUGCUGUGGGGGUGCUUAAUGUGACUGACAACACACCGUUUGUACCGCUGGAGGGGCUUGAUGUACUCGCACAGUAUUCGACCGACUAGAACGACCAAAUUUUCUUGGAUGCCCUCAAUGUCGGCCUUUGUAGGAAGGAAGCAUCGAUAGGACGUUGGUACAGCUUGCUGAUUUUCGUGACCAACUUCAACACGGCACAGUAACUGAUAGUGACACUAAGAUGAUUCAGCCUGGAGUAUACCUUUGAAGAGUACGAGAGACAGAAACGACUGAAUACCACACAUUCUUGUGUUACGCUCUUUCAAGAGAAUUGCUGUGGCCAUACACAUCCCAGGGUAGUGACUCUCUCCGCGUUUAUGCAAGUUCCUAUGAUCUGAACGUCCUACGAUCGUCUGGAUAAGCCUAAAUAGAAUCGGAGACUUUCGCUGUAGUUCAGACACAGCCUGUUUCCACGAUAACGCUUCCACAUUGUCAAUUGGAACCCGGUGAAAUGUGAUGCAAUUUGAGAAAACAGACCACUUGGCUUGGUCUAAAAAAGUUGAGAUCUCUAUGCAUACUGAUAGAGCAGAGAAAUGCCUACACAAUGCUAUGCUUAGUCUGUACAUACCUCAUUCUAUGACUAAGUUAUAAUCGUUUGAAGUUGGUUGCUAUGAAAUUGCAUUAUUGAAAAAACGCCAUUCAAAGAUGCCCUACUCCAUUAGUAAGCCUAUGUUUUGCGUUUUUUGACGAAGCACUGAGGUGAACAUAUUUGGAUAUAGAGCACCAGACUUCACAUAGAGAUAGUAGAAAGGCUAUAGAUACUUGUAAACUUAUAAAACUAAAUUCAUCACUUUGCACUCAAGGUCACAAAUUUGCCUCUAGCUCAAAUUGAAAAUCUAAGCCAAGUGGUCUGUUUUCUCAGAUUGCAUCACAAAUAGAGAGACAAACUCCCCAGAGUUACGACAUAGAGUGGAACAUUCGUCGUCAAGAAUUUUCAUCACACCCUCUACCAAUUGGUCCUUCAGUGAAGGGCAAGAAAAUGCUGCCUUGGCAAUAGACUGAAUGUUGCCACUAUUCAGUGCCUGGCGUAAUUUCUGGAGACUUUCAUCUACUUCCGCAGUCACUGUACUGGGUGGUUUAACAUACCGUCAACAGAAGAAAACUGCUCGAGAUUGGUCAACUCUAACAGCGGUGGCUGACGAGGACAGUCUGUGUGCGCUAUGAAAAAGAGAUGAUUCCUGUCAUUUACAUAUAUGAUUUGUUGCAAUCAACCUACGUUCCUC